rnacentral:rRNA from 4 species
GGUUAAGCGACUAAGCGUACACGGUGGAUGCCCUGGCAGUCAGAGGCGAUGAAGGACGUGCUAAUCUGCGAUAAGCGUCGGUAAGGUGAUAUGAACCGUUAUAACCGGCGAUUUCCGAAUGGGGAAACCCAGUGUGAUUCGUCACACUAUCAUUAACUGAAUCCAUAGGUUAAUGAGGCGAACCGGGGGAACUGAAACAUCUAAGUACCCCGAGGAAAAGAAAUCAACCGAGAUUCCCCCAGUAGCGGCGAGCGAACGGGGAGGAGCCCAGAGCCUGAAUCAGUGUGUGUGUUAGUGGAAGCGUCUGGAAAGGCGCGCGAUACAGGGUGACAGCCCCGUACACAAAAAUGCACAUGCUGUGAGCUCGAUGAGUAGGGCGGGACACGUGGUAUCCUGUCUGAAUAUGGGGGGACCAUCCUCCAAGGCUAAAUACUCCUGACUGACCGAUAGUGAACCAGUACCGUGAGGGAAAGGCGAAAAGAACCCCGGCGAGGGGAGUGAAAAAGAACCUGAAACCGUGUACGUACAAGCAGUGGGAGCACAGAGCAAUCUGUGUGACUGCGUACCUUUUGUAUAAUGGGUCAGCGACUUAUAUUCUGUAGCAAGGUUAACCGAAUAGGGGAGCCGAAGGGAAACCGAGUCUUAACUGGGCGUUAAGUUGCAGGGUAUAGACCCGAAACCCGGUGAUCUAGCCAUGGGCAGGUUGAAGGUUGGGUAACACUAACUGGAGGACCGAACCGACUAAUGUUGAAAAAUUAGCGGAUGACUUGUGGCUGGGGGUGAAAGGCCAAUCAAACCGGGAGAUAGCUGGUUCUCCCCGAAAGCUAUUUAGGUAGCGCCUCGUGAAUUCAUCUCCGGGGGUAGAGCACUGUUUCGGCAAGGGGGUCAUCCCGACUUACCAACCCGAUGCAAACUGCGAAUACCGGAGAAUGUUAUCACGGGAGACACACGGCGGGUGCUAACGUCCGUCGUGAAGAGGGAAACAACCCAGACCGCCAGCUAAGGUCCCAAAGUCAUGGUUAAGUGGGAAACGAUGUGGGAAGGCCCAGACAGCCAGGAUGUUGGCUUAGAAGCAGCCAUCAUUUAAAGAAAGCGUAAUAGCUCACUGGUCGAGUCGGCCUGCGCGGAAGAUGUAACGGGGCUAAACCAUGCACCGAAGCUGCGGCAGCGACACUGUGUGUUGUUGGGUAGGGGAGCGUUCUGUAAGCCUGUGAAGGUGUGCUGUGAGGCAUGCUGGAGGUAUCAGAAGUGCGAAUGCUGACAUAAGUAACGAUAAAGCGGGUGAAAAGCCCGCUCGCCGGAAGACCAAGGGUUCCUGUCCAACGUUAAUCGGGGCAGGGUGAGUCGACCCCUAAGGCGAGGCCGAAAGGCGUAGUCGAUGGGAAACAGGUUAAUAUUCCUGUACUUGGUGUUACUGCGAAGGGGGGACGGAGAAGGCUAUGUUGGCCGGGCGACGGUUGUCCCGGUUUAAGCGUGUAGGCUGGUUUUCCAGGCAAAUCCGGAAAAUCAAGGCUGAGGCGUGAUGACGAGGCACUACGGUGCUGAAGCAACAAAUGCCCUGCUUCCAGGAAAAGCCUCUAAGCAUCAGGUAACAUCAAAUCGUACCCCAAACCGACACAGGUGGUCAGGUAGAGAAUACCAAGGCGCUUGAGAGAACUCGGGUGAAGGAACUAGGCAAAAUGGUGCCGUAACUUCGGGAGAAGGCACGCUGAUAUGUAGGUGAAGUCCCUCGCGGAUGGAGCUGAAAUCAGUCGAAGAUACCAGCUGGCUGCAACUGUUUAUUAAAAACACAGCACUGUGCAAACACGAAAGUGGACGUAUACGGUGUGACGCCUGCCCGGUGCCGGAAGGUUAAUUGAUGGGGUCAGCGCAAGCGAAGCUCUUGAUCGAAGCCCCGGUAAACGGCGGCCGUAACUAUAACGGUCCUAAGGUAGCGAAAUUCCUUGUCGGGUAAGUUCCGACCUGCACGAAUGGCGUAAUGAUGGCCAGGCUGUCUCCACCCGAGACUCAGUGAAAUUGAACUCGCUGUGAAGAUGCAGUGUACCCGCGGCAAGACGGAAAGACCCCGUGAACCUUUACUAUAGCUUGACACUGAACAUUGAGCCUUGAUGUGUAGGAUAGGUGGGAGGCUUUGAAGUGUGGACGCCAGUCUGCAUGGAGCCGACCUUGAAAUACCACCCUUUAAUGUUUGAUGUUCUAACGUGGACCCGUGAUCCGGGUUGCGGACAGUGUCUGGUGGGUAGUUUGACUGGGGCGGUCUCCUCCUAAAGAGUAACGGAGGAGCACGAAGGUUGGCUAAUCCUGGUCGGACAUCAGGAGGUUAGUGCAAUGGCAUAAGCCAGCUUGACUGCGAGCGUGACGGCGCGAGCAGGUGCGAAAGCAGGUCAUAGUGAUCCGGUGGUUCUGAAUGGAAGGGCCAUCGCUCAACGGAUAAAAGGUACUCCGGGGAUAACAGGCUGAUACCGCCCAAGAGUUCAUAUCGACGGCGGUGUUUGGCACCUCGAUGUCGGCUCAUCACAUCCUGGGGCUGAAGUAGGUCCCAAGGGUAUGGCUGUUCGCCAUUUAAAGUGGUACGCGAGCUGGGUUUAGAACGUCGUGAGACAGUUCGGUCCCUAUCUGCCGUGGGCGCUGGAGAACUGAGGGGGGCUGCUCCUAGUACGAGAGGACCGGAGUGGACGCAUCACUGGUGUUCGGGUUGUCAUGCCAAUGGCACUGCCCGGUAGCUAAAUGCGGAAGAGAUAAGUGCUGAAAGCAUCUAAGCACGAAACUUGCCCCGAGAUGAGUUCUCCCUGACCCUUUAAGGGUCCUGAAGGAACGUUGAAGACGACGACGUUGAUAGGCCGGGUGUGUAAGCGCAGCGAUGCGUUGAGCUAACCGGUACUAAUGAACCGUGAGGCUUAACCUUACAACGCCGAAGGUGUUUUG